rnacentral:lncRNA from 1 species
AAAUUAUUAAAAAAAAAUUUCUUGCUUUUUCUGCCUGCAAAAUUGUGAAUAAGUUCAUCACAGGUCAAUUUACCCUUGUUUCAGUGGGCUGGUGACCAGUGACCAGCGUCUGUCUGUCUGCUAGACACAGGUUACCUCCAGAUGAGCAUAAUCCCAUUCACCGUGUAUGGAUUCUACUAGAGUUUUGUUUUGUUUGUUUUUUUUACGAGCCAAGGUAGAGUUCUUGGAGCCAUGGAGAUGACCCAUGACCCCUACAUGUCAUGAUUUUCAAAUUAGGUCCGACCAGUGGGACAUGGGACCAGCCCUUUAUUGCAGGACAUUUUCCUUUUCUGAUUUCCAGGCACUAGAUGCUUCUAGCAGCCCCCAGUCACCCCAACAAUGAACCGAAAAGAAAGCCUCCAAAAUCCCCCUGGGUGGGGGAGCAGUUGUACCUCAGGUUAAGGAGCAUUGUUACGCUGUGGUUGAAGACAGGUUGAAAAAUGUUUGCAGGAAGGUCCUGCCUGCCCUGUCCUGCAGGUCACACCUACAAGCCCUUCCUGGGCAACAGAGCCCUGGGCUUCUCUCUCCCCUGAGUGACCGUGGUAUUAUUAGUACCACUCAUACAGCCCUCUGUCACACGGCAUGACUCGCUGUAUCAACACCUUUAAUAUUAAUUAACUCCGGGAGUUUGUUAUAGAACAUUUCACAAUCUGCCUGUGUCCCUCUGACUAAAUCAUAAGUUCCCCGAGGGCCAAACCAUGCUUUGCCUGGGGGAAAAGGCUAUUGGGCGGGAGGUGCUCAGGCGAGGGUAGUAGAAGGUGACCGCUCCCUGAAGCAUCAGGGCACCAAAGUGGGGCUGGGACCCAACUGCACACAGGGAGAGCCCAAGCUGUUCCCAGAGAAGGGACACCAUGGCCCUCCUUUGGAGAAUGGGACCACCUUCUUGAUGGAACUGGGGGGAAUAAAGUCCAAUAAAGAAAAAGACAGAAUGAUAGAGAAGUGACAAGGACCUUGCUGAGUCACGGGGGUCCACAGGGAGGGGACUGGUCCUCAGGGCAGAAGGACACUGGACCCAGAAGAGGCUGCUCCAUCUGCCCACCGAGAUCUCCAGCGUGGCCUUCAGGACCCUCGCAGCACAGCAUUGAGGAGGGGCGAGGCCACAGGGGGACA